rnacentral:tRNA from 1 species
GGGAAUGGAUAGGUCCUGGUGGGCCUCGAGGGCUUCAAACCCUUUGUCUGGCGGCUGAUCCCGUCCGGGGUGGGUUCGAUUCCCACACAUUCCCGCCA